GUGCAAAUGGGGGAGUAACACGUGAGUAACGUGCCCUUGUCUCUGGUAUAAGCCUGGGAAACUGGGUUAAAUACGGGAUGACACUUUCUAUCGCAUGGUGGUUGGUAGAAAGUUUUUGUGGUUUUGGAUGGACUCGCCGCAUAUCAGCUUGUUUGUGGGGUAAUGGCCUACCAAGGCGGAGACGGAUAGCCCGCCUGAGAGUGUGACCGGCCACACUGGGAGUGACACACGGCCCAGACUCCUGCGAGACGCAGCAGUGGGGAAUAUUGCACAAUGGGCGCACGCCAGAUGCAGCGACGCCGCGUGAGGGAUGACCGCUUUCGGGUUGUAAACCUCUCUCAGUAGGGAAAAAGCGAAAGUGACGGUACCUGCAGAAGAAGCGCCGGCUAACUACGUGCCAGCAGCCGCGGUAAUACGUAGGGCGCAAGCGUUAUCCGGAAUUAUUGGGCGUAAAGAGCUCGUAGGCGGUUUGUCGCGUCUGCCGUGAAAGUCCGGGGCUCAACUCCGGAUCUGCGGUGGGUACGGGCAGACUAGAGUGAUGUAGGGGAGACUGGAAUUCCUGGUGUAGCGGUGAAAUGCGCAGAUAUCAGGAGGAACACCGAUGGCGAAGGCAGGUCUCUGGGCAUUAACUGACGCUGAGGAGCGAAAGCAUGGGGAGCGAACAGGAUUAGAUACCCUGGUAGUCCAUGCCGUAAACGUUGGGCACUAGGUGUGGGGGACAUUCCACGUUUUCCGCGCCGUAGCUAACGCAUUAAGUGCCCCGCCUGGGGAGUACGGCCGCAAGGCUAAAACUCAAAGGAAUUGACGGGGGCCCGCACAAGCGGCGGAGCAUGCGGAUUAAUUCGAUGCAACGCGAAGAACCUUACCAAGGCUUGACAUGGACCGGACCGCCGCAGAAAUGUGGUUUCCCCUUUUGGGGCUGGUUUACAGGUGG
rnacentral:rRNA from 1 species